rnacentral:rRNA from 1 species
UACGGAGGGUGCAAGCGUUAAUCGGAAUUACUGGGCGUAAAGCGUGCGCAGGCGGUUUGUUAAGUCCGUUGUGAAAGCCCCGGGCUCAACCUGGGAAUUGCAUUUGAGACUGCGUAGCUAGGGUGCGGAAGAGGGAAGCGGAAUUUCCGGUGUAGCGGUGAAAUGCGUAGAUAUCGGAAGGAACACCAGUGGCGAAAGCGGCUUCCUGGUCCAGCACCGACGUCAGGCACGAAAGCGUGGGGAGCAAACAGG